rnacentral:rRNA from 1 species
UAAGUCAGCCACGAAUAGGCUAUCCCAACUAACGGCGGGAAAGACUCCACGGAGGGUGUAAGACCCGUGUGGGCGCGUGUUAAAGCUGUGUGGGCUCGGCCUCCAUUCCCUGAGAGUCGCGUUGCUUGAGCAUGCAGCGCUAAGCAGGUCGUAAACUCGAUCUAAGGCUAAAUAUUUCCACAGAACCGAUAGCGAACAAGUACCGUGAGGGAAAGUUGAAAAGCACUCUGGAGAGAGAGUCAAAAGACCGUGAAACCGCUCAGAGUAUAAGCCCAUGGCAGCUUGGAAGGCAUAUCGCUAGCGGGGCAUCGGUCUCCCUUCGCGGGGAGCUGGUGUUACCUUGCUUCUGUUGUGGCUCGUCAUGGUAGGGGGGUCAGGUCCACAUCCCGCCGUCGUGUGGGGAGUUCUUGGGUGUGUUGUGGUUUCUCGGUUGGCUUCGGCUUUCCGGGGGGCUCUUCGUGCUUGGUUCUCCUUUAUACACGGACGUUCAGACUCAGUUGCAAGACGCGAUAACCAGCCCACCACGGCACGUUGUGAGGUCACCCACAGGCUCGACUUUCGAUCGUGAGCCUUGACGCCGAGCAAGCACAAUGCGUGUCGCAGAGGUUCCUAACCAGGCAAUGCUGCCAGGAUCGUGGAACGACACGCGCUCAAGAGUCAGGUUCGGGCGGAGACAGAGUUCUGGUAUGAUCCUCUUGCGACGAGCCGGCUUCUGGCCGACAUCCGAUGCUCAGGUCUCCCGCAUGUGCCGCGGGAGAUCGCCUUGACGGUCUGGA